rnacentral:rRNA from 1 species
GAUGAACGCUAGCGGCAGGCUUAAUACAUGCAAGUCGAACGGAUAUAUGUUUUUCGGAAUAUAUAUUAGUGGCGCACGGGUGAGUAACACGUACAUAACUUGCCCUCAAGCGGGGGAUAGCCUUGGGAAACUGAGAGUAAUACCCCAUAGAAUUAUUGGACGGCAUCGUUUGAUAAUUAAAACUACGGUGCUUGGGGAUAGAUGUGCGUCUGAUUAGCUAGUUGGUGAGGUAACUGCUCACCAAGGCGACGAUCAGUAGGGGGCGUGAGAGCGUGGCCCCCCACACGGGUACUGAGACACGGACCCGACUCCUACGGGAGGCAGCAGUAAGGAAUAUUGGUCAAUGGAGGGAACUCUGAACCAGCCAUGCCGCGUGAAGGAUGACGGCCCUCUGGGUUGUAAACUUCUUUUGGAUGGGGCGAAAAAACGGGAUUUAUCCUGGACUGACGGUACCAUCAGAAUAAGCACCGGCUAACUCCGUGCCAGCAGCCGCGGUAAAGUAGUCGUG